GAAAAUACAAAACUACCCCCCCUGGGAGAGAGAGAAGAUAAGUGGUUUCCAAGGUCCAGGACUGAGGUGGGAUUGACUAAAAAGAGCCACUGAACAUUUUUUGUGACUAAUGUCUCCCGAUUUAUCCGAAGAUACUAACUGGAAUUUUAUAAUGGUUGUCUCCAAUCUCUGAUUUAUCUCUAUUUCGUCUGUAGACAUAAGGACAGAAGUUUCAUAGAAAGGGUCACAUCAUGGUAAACACUGUGACAGCUGCUACCUACUGUUUUGUGUUGGGAGAAGUUUCCAUUUUUUCAACAUUUCAGAUCUGCUUUCCAGACUCACAUCUUUGAAUUGACAUAGUGGCAGUCAAUCUCCUACCUUCUUGUCCUGACUGAAGUUCAUCUUUCCCUCUCUGGAUCUCUCCUCCAAUGCCUCCCCUACAGAGUCUCUCAGGAGACUGUUUAAAACUGCCUCAUAUGGAACCACAAAAGGCCCCGAAUGGCCAAAGUAAUUUUGAAGAAGAAGACCAAAGCAGGAGGCAUCACAAUCCCAGACUUUAGCCUCUACUACAAAGCUGUA